rnacentral:tRNA from 1 species
GUGGCUGUGGCUUAGUGGUAGAGUGCUUGCCUAGCAUGCGUGAGGCACUGGGUUCAAUCCUCAGCACCACA